GACGAACGCUGGCGGCGUGCUUAACACAUGCAAGUCGAACGGAAAGGCCCUGCUUUUGUGGGGUGCUCGAGUGGCGAACGGGUGAGUAACACGUGAGUAACCUGCCCUUGACUUUGGGAUAACUUCAGGAAACUGGGGCUAAUACCGGAUAGGAGCUCCUGCUACAUGGUGGGGGUUGGAAAGUUUCGGCGGUUGGGGAUGGACUCGCGGCUUAUCAGCUUGUUGGUGGGGUAGUGGCUUACCAAGGCUUUGACGGGUAGCCGGCCUGAGAGGGUGACCGGCCACAUUGGGACUGAGAUACGGCCCAGACUCCUACGGGAGGCAGCAGUGGGGAAUAUUGCACAAUGGGCGGAAGCCUGAUGCAGCAACGCCGCGUGCGGGAUGACGGCCUUUGGGUUGUAAACCGCUUUCGCCUGUGACGAAGCGUGAGUGACGGUAAUGGGUAAAGAAGCACCGGCUAACUACGUG
rnacentral:rRNA from 1 species